ACUUUACAGAGGAUUAAGGUUCAAUGAAAUCAAGAUGUACAGAGUAUGUGUCAGUAUGUGUCAGACAUCUAAAAAUUCUUGAGAAAGCAAUUAUACUGAGUGCUGUCUAAUAAUAAAUCCAAAUGGACAGCUAUGAUAUGAACUGCAUUUUCUAACAACACUACCCCCACCUGACUCUGCAUUGCAAUCUUUGCUAAACUCUCUGCAAAAGAACAGAUGUUCUGCUUUGGGUUGAGAAAUCAACAGUUACCAUUCAUAUGUUCCAAAAAUUCAAGGGCCUAGUGCUGCUGUUUUAAGAAUGCUAAUUAAUUCCAGCCCUUAUGCUCCAAUAUUCUUGCAGUUUCAAUCAAUUGCAUUCUCAUAGGACUUCGGUCCCCAGUAUCUCCUUUGAAAGUCUAUGGGGAAAAGCAACUAGGAAAUGUACACAUCAUGGACCUGGGGGAGAAAAAGAAUUAAUCGAAUAUGCUCUAAUUUUGUCUAUUUCUCAUAGCGUUAUCAUCGCCAUCCUCUGCUAUAUUGAUUUGAACAGAACCAUUGCUCUCUUUCCCUGCUUCACGUGGCUCAUGUAAUUCAGAAGAUAGACUUCAUUCAAAGAAUGAAAAAUAGGUGAGCCUGAAUCCCGGUGCCUCUCUCCAUCAAUUCAGCAAGCUGCAGAACGUUAUCUGCCUUGUAAGUAGCUCGGCUCCCUCUAACAAGAUGAAUUUCUUUCCUGAAACAGGUUUGUACUUAGGGCUCCACCACCAGCUGUGUUAGCACACUCUGAGGAAAG
rnacentral:lncRNA from 1 species